GUCUUCUUAUGUGUCUGAUUGUGUUUAUGUAGCAAAGGAAAGGGGGUUUACGGGGCUCCAGGAGACAGACUUCCUUUUCCCGUGAACAACCGCCACUCACAGUAAGUCUGCCUGACUAGUUCACAGUCACCUUUUCUGUCAUGAAUUUAUAUUUCUUUGAUUGAGAUGCUUUCAUGUUCUUUUCUUUCCUCACAGUUUUAAACAUUGGUAAUUCAUGCUUUCUGUGUUUUUUCUGUUUUUCCACAGAAAGAGAAAAUGUGAGAGCUAGCAGGAUGAUGACAUGCCGUAUGUCAAGCUUUCGAAGACGGAACA
rnacentral:misc_RNA from 1 species